rnacentral:rRNA from 1 species
GGCGGGGAUGACGUCAAGUCCUCAUGGCCCUUACGAUCCCGGGCUACACACGUGCUACAAUGGCAGGUACAGAGGGCUGCGAAGCCGCGAGGUGGAGCGAAUCCCAGAAAACCUGUCUCAGUCCGGAUUGAAGUCUGCAACUCGACUUCAUGAAGGCGGAAUCGCUAGUAACCGCGAAUCAGCAGGUCGCGGUGAAUACGUUCCCGGGCCUU